AGUGAACGCUGGCGGUAGGCCUAACACAUGCAAGUCGAACGGCAGCACAGUAAGAGCUUGCUCUUACGGGUGGCGAGUGGCGGACGGGUGAGGAAUACAUCGGAAUCUACUUUUUCGUGGGGGAUAACGUAGGGAAACUUACGCUAAUACCGCAUACGACCUACGGGUGAAAGCAGGGGAUCUUCGGACCUUGCGCGAUUGAAUGAGCCGAUGUCGGAUUAGCUAGUUGGCGGGGUAAAGGCCCACCAAGGCGACGAUCCGUAGCUGGUCUGAGAGGAUGAGCAGCCACACUGGAACUGAGACACGGUCCAGACUCCUACGGGAGGCAGCAGUGGGGAAGAUUGGACAAUGGGCGCAAGCCUGAUCCAGCCAUACCGCGUGGGUGAAGAAGGCCUUCGGGUUGUAAAGCCCUUUUGUUGGGAAAGAAAAGCAGCAGGUUAAUACCCCGCUGUUCUGACGGUACCCAAAGAAUAAGCACCGGCUAACUUCGUG
rnacentral:rRNA from 1 species